GACGAACGCUGGCGGCGUGCUUAACACAUGCAAGUCGAACGAAGAGGCGAAGGGGUGAGUAACGCGUAAUCAAGCUGCCCUUCAGAGGGGGACAACAGUUGGACACGACUGCUAAUACCGUAUACUGAAGGAGGGGAUUGCGUCUGAUUGGCUGGUUGGAGGGGUAAGGGCCCACCAAGGCGAUGAGCAGUAGCCGGUCUGGACGGAGGAACGGCCACAAUGGGUCUGGGACACCGCCCAGACGCCUACCGGGGGCCGCAGUGGGGAAUCUUCCGGCAUGGGCGAAAGUCUGACGGGGCAACGCCGGGGGAGUGAUGACGGCUUUCGGGUUGUAAAGAUCUGUUAGUCGGGGCGCGGUACCGAAAUAGAAAGCCACGGCUAACUACGUGCCAGCAGCCGCGGUAAUAC
rnacentral:rRNA from 1 species